rnacentral:rRNA from 3 species
UACGGAGGAUGCGAGCGUUAUCCGGAAUCAUUGGGUUUAAAGGGUCCGUAGGCGGCCUUAUAAGUCAGUGGUGAAAUCUCCUAGCUCAACUAGGAAACUGCCAUUGAUACUGUAGGGCUUGAAUUAUUGGGAAGUAACUAGAAUAUGUAGUGUAGCGGUGAAAUGCUUAGAUAUUACAUGGAAUACCAAUUGCGAAGGCAGGUUACUAUCAAUAUAUUGACGCUGAUGGACGAAAGCGUGGGGAGCGAACAGG